rnacentral:rRNA from 1 species
AGCGAACGCUGGCGGCACGCCUAACACAUGCAAGUCGAACGAAGUCUUCGGACUUAGUGGCGGACGGGUGAGUAACACGUGGGAACGUGCCUUUAGGUCCGGAAUAACUCAGGGAAACUUGUGCUAAUACCGAAUGUGCCCUUCGGGGGAAAGAUUUAUCGCCUUUAGAGCGGCCCGCGUCUGAUUAGCUAGUUGGUGAGGUAAAGGCUCACCAAGGCUACGAUCAGUAGCUGGUCUGAGAGGAUGACCAGCCACAUUGGGACUGAGACACGGCCCAAACUCCUACGGGAGGCAGCAGUGGGGAAUCUUGCGCAAUGGGCGAAAGCCUGACGCAGCCAUGCCGCGUGGAUGAUGAAGGUCUUAGGAUUGUAAAAUCCUUUCACCGGUGAAGAUAAUGACUGUAGCCGGAGAAGAAGCCCCGGCUAACUUCGUGCCAGCCGCCGCGGUAACAC